AUUGAACGCUGGCGGCAUGCCUUACACAUGCAAGUCGAACGGUAACGCGGGGCAACCUGGCGACGAGUGGCGAACGGGUGAGUAAUGCAUCGGAACGUGCCCAGUAGUGGGGGAUAGCCCGGCGAAAGCCGGAUUAAUACCGCAUACGACCUACGGGUGAAAGCGGGGGACCGUAAGGCCUCGCGCUAUUGGAGCGGCCGAUGUCAGCUUAGGUUGUUGGUGGGGUAAAAGCCUACCAAGCCGACGCUCUGUAGCUGGUCUGAGAGGACGACCAGCCACACUGGGACUGAGACACGGCCCAGACUCCUACGGGAGGCAGCAGUGGGGAAUUUUGGACAAUGGGGGCAACCCUGAGCCAGCCAUGCCGCGUGCGGGAAGAAGGCCUUCGGGUUGUAAACCGCUUUUGUCAGGGAAGAAACGCUCUGGGCUAAUACCCCGGGGUAAUGACGGUACCUGAAGAAUAAGCACCGGCUAACUACGUGCCAGCCGCCGCAGUAA
rnacentral:rRNA from 1 species